CAAAAAUGUAUCUGAAGCUAGGAUUGCAGCAGUAAUUGUCUUUCCUGUAACAAUGAACAGAAAGGUGUGGAUAGCAAAGGCAAGGACGACCUGGGAAGGAAGCAGCAGUGAGUGGUUACAGAUCAAACACUACCCAGAAUUCCUCUCAUACUUUUCAAAAUGUAUUUUUAUUCCACCUGGUAUAUUUCAGUGAUGUUCUGGGGAAGCUUAUCUGAAUUGGAUAGGUGGGUCCCUCAACUAUGCAAUCUAUGUUUUGGAAUGGUCAUCCAUCUUUUUUAAAAUUAUUAUUUCAUCAGAGAUAAGGUGGGAAGGAGCAAAAAUCAAGCAAAGACCUUUAAAGGUCUUGAAUGUAAGACAUAAAGAUGUCAGUGGAAUUUGGCAAGUGCAAGACUUUGGCAAUAUCUAGGCAUCUAUAGGCAUAUGGGCCACAUUAUGUCAUACAUGUUCUAUUGAUGCAGAUUUCAAGAUAAAUGGGUGUCCUACCUGAGAAUGUGGCUAUACCACUGGAAGUGUAGGUGGCAUCAACUCACAUGUUUGUGCAUAUCAAGACAGAAGGUGCAGAACAUCUCUCUGCUGGCUAUCAUUUCUUAUAUCAGAGAAUCUAUGUCUUUAGUAUCUUAUGAUGCUGGUUCUGGAAGAGCUUUUAUAAAGAAAACAACACGAUCAGUAACCCUGGUCCAAGAGAUGUGAGAAAAUGAAUAGUCACAUUUUUGGUAUAGUAUAUCCAUGCAAACAAUUGUAGGUCUACAUUAUCACUUUAUAAUCAUCUCACCAAGUAAUCUGGAACAGAAUGUUUAAUUCCAUGCUCUUUUUGUCGUAAACACAAUUAAAAACCUACCUAUUUUCAC
rnacentral:lncRNA from 1 species